rnacentral:rRNA from 1 species
UACGGAGGGUGCGAGCGUUGUUCGGAAUCAUUGGGCGUAAAGGGCGUGUAGGUGGUCUGUUAAGUCAUGUGUGAAAGCCCUCAGCUUAACUGGGGAAGUGCGCAUGAAACUGACAGGCUAGAGUACCGAAGAGGAAGGUGGAAUUCCCGGUGUAGCGGUGAAAUGCGUAGAUAUCAGGAGGAACACCGGUGGCGAAGGCGGCAUCCUGGACCGAUACUGACGCUGAGGAGCGAAAGCCAGGGGAGCAAACGGG